UGGGGAAUCUUCCGCAAUGGACGAAAGUCUGACGGAGCAACGCCGCGUGAGUGAUGACGGCCUUCGAGUUGUAAAGCUCUGUUAAUCGGGACGAAUGGUUCUUGUGCGAAUAGUGCGAGGAUUUGACGGUACCGGAAUAGAAAGCCACGGCUAACUACGUGCCAGCAGCCGCGGUAAUACGUAGGUGGCAAGCGUUGUCCGGAAUUAUUGGGCGUAAAGCGCGCGCAGGCGGAUUGGUCAGUCUGUCUUAAAAGUUCGGGGCUUAACCCCGUGAUGGGAUGGAAACUGCCAAUCUAGAGUAUCGGAGAGGAAAGUGGAAUUCCUAGUGUAGCGGUGAAAUGCGUAGAUAUUAGGAAGAACACCAGUGGCGAAGGCGACUUUCUGGACGAAAACUGACGCUGAGGCGCGAAAGCCAGGGGAGCGAACGGGAUUAGAUACCCCGGUAGUCCUGGCCGUAAACGAUGGGUACUAGGUGUAGGAGGUAUCGACCCCUUCUGUGCCGGAGUUAACGCAAUAAGUACCCCGCCUGGGGAGUACGACCGCAAGGUUG
rnacentral:rRNA from 1 species